UUUGCCACAUCUACGGAGCUUAUUAGCUCAGCGGUCCUCCAUUGACUCGAAUUGCUCUUGCUUAACAGCUGGACCACGAUCAGUCAAUGAUCUUACUUAAGGUCCUUAUCUUGAUUCCUGCAUCAACCAACUCCCCUAGGUACUUAGUCAUUCAACCAACCAUCCCCACAGAAAUAAGUAACCUUUGAGAAGUCUUUGAAAGGAUAAGGGUUUGCAUCU
rnacentral:lncRNA from 1 species